rnacentral:rRNA from 1 species
CUAGACGUAAACACGGUUGCUACACUACCCACAACCCGCCAGAGGAUUACAAGUGAAAAACUUCAAACCCCAAGGACUUGACGGUGUCCCACCCAUACUAGAGGAGCCUGUCCUAUAACCGAUACCCCACGUUCCACCUUACCCCUUCUUGCUUUUCCCAACCUAUAUACCGCCGUCACCAGCAUACACUGUGAAUGCACCACCGUAAGCGAAACCAUUCACACAUAAAAACGACAGGUCAAGGUGUAGUUAAUGAAGGGGCAGUGAUGGGCUACAUUUUCUACAGUAGAAAACACCCACCGCAACAUGAAACCCUGCCUAAAGGCGGAUUUAGAAGUAAACUUGGCAAGCAAUGCCAACUUGAACAGGCCCUGGGACGC